rnacentral:rRNA from 1 species
GUUGGUAGGGUAAAGGCCUACCAAGGCGAUGAUCUAUAGCUGGUCUGAGAGGAUGAUCAGCCACACUGGAACUGAGAUACGGUCCAGACUCCUACGGGAGGCAGCAGUGGGGAAUAUUGGACAAUGGGCGCAAGCCUGAUCCAGCUAUGCCGCGUGAGUGAGGAAGGCCUUAGGGUUGUAAAACUCUUUCAGUAGGGAAGAUAAUGACGGUACCUACAGAAGAAGUCCCGGCAAACUCCGUGCCAGCAGCCGCGGUAAUACGGAGGGGGCAAGCGUUGUUCGGAAUUAUUGGGCGUAAAGGGCAUGUAGGCGGUUCGGUAAGUUAAAGGUGAAAUGCCAGGGCUUAACCCUGGAGCUGCUUUUAAUACUGCCAGACUAGAGUCCGGGAGAGGAUAGCGGAAUUCCUAGUGUA